UACGGGGGGUGCUAACGUUGUCCGGAAUUAUUGGGCGUAAAGCGCAUGUAGGUGGUUUUGUAAGUCAGCGAUGAAAGACCAAUGCUUAACAUUGGGAACGUUGUUGAUACUGCAAAGCUUGAGGAAAACAGGGGUAAGCGGAACUUUCGGUGUAGGAGUGAAAUCCGUAGAUAUCGAAAGGAACACCAAUGGCGAAGGCAGCUUACUGGGUUUUACCUGACACUGAGAUGCGAAAGCGUGGGGAGCAAACGGG
rnacentral:rRNA from 1 species